rnacentral:rRNA from 1 species
GACGAACGCUGGCGGCGUGCUUAACACAUGCAAGUCGAACGGAAAGGCCCUGCUUGCACGGUACUCGAGUGGCGAACGGGUGAGUAACACGUGGGUGAUUUGCCCUUCACUUCGGGUUACGCCUGGGAAACUGGGUCUAAUCCCGGAUCGGAGCCAUUUUUAGUGUGAUGGUUGGAAAGUUUUUUCGGUGUAGGAUGAGCUCGCGGCCUAUCAGCUUGUUGGUGGGGUAAUGGCCUACCAAGGCGGCGACGGGUAGCUGGCCUGAGAGGGUGGACGGCCACACUGAGUCUUAGGUGCGGCACAGACGCCUACUGGUGGAAGCUGUGCGGAAGAUUGCACAAUCGGCGCAAGGCUGGUGAAGCGAGGCCGCGUAUGGGAAGACGGCCUUCGGGUUGUAGACGGCUUGCGCGAUGGACGAAGCUUGUUGUGACGGUACCUAGAUAAGAAGCACCGGCUAACUACGUG